rnacentral:rRNA from 1 species
GACGAACGCUGGCGGCGUGCUUAACACAUGCAAGUCGAACGGAAAGGCCCUGCUUUUGUGGGGUGCUCGAGUGGCGAACGGGUGAGUAACACGUGAGUAACCUGCCCUUGACUUUGGGAUAACUUCAGGAAACUGGGGCUAAUACCGGAUAGGAGCUCCUGCUGCAUGGUGGGGGUUGGAAAGUUUCGGCGGUUGGGGAUGGACUCGCGGCUUAUCAGCUUGUUGGUGGGGUAGUGGCUUACCAAGGCUUUGACGGGUAGCCGGCCUGAGAGGGUGACCGGCCACAUUGGGACUGAGAUACGGCCCAGACUCCUACGGGAGGCAGCAGUGGGGAAUAUUGCGCAAUGGGUGGAAGCCUGAUGCAGCAACGCCGUGUGCGGGAUGACGGCCUUCGGGUUGUAAACCGCUUUCGCUCAUGACGAAGCUUUGUGUGACGGUAGUGGGUAAAGAAGCACCGGCUAACUACGUG